AAUGGGCGAAAGCCUGACGCAGCGACGCCGCGUGAGUGAUGAAGGCCUUCGGGUUGUAAAGCUCUGUGGAGAGGGACGAAUAAGGGUUGGCUAAUAUCCAGCUCGAUGACGGUACCUUUUUAGCAAGCACCGGCUAACUCUGUGCCAGCAGCCGCGGUAAGACAGAGGGUGCAAACGUUGUUCGGAAUUACUGGGCGUAAAGCGCGUGUAGGCUGCUCGGAAAGUCGGAUGUGAAAGCCCUGGGCUCAACCUAGGAAGUGCAUUCGAAACUUCCGAGCUGGAGUGCUGGAGAGGAAGGCGGAAUUCUCGGUGUAGAGGUGAAAUUCGUAGAUAUCGAUAGGAACAUCGGUGGCGAAGGCGGCCUUCUGGACAGCAACUGACGCUGAGACGCGAAAGCGUGGGGAGCAAA
rnacentral:rRNA from 1 species